CACUAAACUGUCCUGGUAUGAAAAUUGUCAAACCACUUUGGAAAAACAUAAGAAUGGGUAAAUAAUGGCAGAUUGUUUUGAACCAUUAAAAAAUAGUUGAAACUAAGAAAUACAUGUGUGAUUUGGGCCAGACAAAAUGGGGCCAACUGAAAGUGUUCUUUUUGGUGGUUCAGAACCACUCUUUAUAGUACAUUAUAUAUGAACAGAUGAUUUCUUAACUUUUAUUUCUACACUGCAGCGUUGGAAUGUUUGAAAACCAUAUAUCAUUGCAUAGUUUUACCUCUGAGCAAGGAGCAAAAAAAAGAGCAUCGCCAUGAGUACAUCAAGACUUUACUGGUUUGUUUUUUAUGUAAAAGCAUGAUAUCAGGUUUAUAUAACCAGUUCAUUACUGCUGUUGAAGUUGUGCACCAGCAUCCAUCUGGCAUGCUGUAAAAAAAAGUGUUUAUAUGUUUAUCUUUGUGAUCAGCUGCGUGUUAGACAAAAGUCUGUUUUCUGGCUUUGUCUGUCAGUUAUUGGGCAGAUGCUAUACCUUCAUAGUAACCACACACACAUUUAUUUCAGUGAUGCCAAGUAAAGUCAAGUCACCUUUGUGUAUAUAUACAUACAUAUAUAUAUAUAUAUAUAUAUAUGUGCUUUUAACAAUACUGUUAUGUGGAGGGGUGGGGAAAACAAAACCCACGAGGGGGAAAACAAGGACUAGGGCAGAUACAAAAUAACUUAACAGGACUGAGUUAACAAGAUAAACAAAGACUCAAAACACGAGAACACUAAAUAAACACUCACUGUUACACAAAGAUUUCUUAAAGGGGUUACAAGGAUACAAUAUCUCACGAGGCUGACAUGUAGAAAUACAUAUGAGGAACAAUGAACCGACAAAAGACAGAGCACACUAGGGGAUCUAAAUAGGAGAACUAAUUAAGACACAACAGGUGGCACAGAUAAGGCAAUCACGACAAGACUAGGAUAACAAGGGGGCAGGGCAAGGGGACGAGACAACACAAGCACAUGGCCCAAAGACAAGGCCAUGUGCUUGUACACAAAACACGGGUCUGUCAUGAUCCUGCCUCAAGACUAGAGAAAAGUCAGGACAUGAAGGCAGAAUCAUGACAAAUACAGAUGGUGUCAAAGCAACUUUACAGUAUUAAAUAGGAAAAUAGUAAACACUAAAUUUUCAGUUAAAGAAAACAUCAUUGAAUUCAGUGAUGUCAUCAUCCAGCUCAGUUCAGUUUAGUAUUUGUGCAAUCAAGUCCACAAUAAUGCUGGAUAUUAAGUGUCCCCAAGCAAGCCAGAGGAAACAGUGGCAAGGAACCAAAACUCCAUCAGUGACAGAAUGGAGAAAAAACCUUGGGAGAAACCAGGCUCAGUUGGGGGGCCAGUUCUCCUCUUACCAGACGAAACCAGCAGUUCAAUCCCAAGCUGCAGCAAAGUCAAAUUGUGCAGAGGACUCUUCUGGUUCCUGUGGUCUAGUCCCAGUGGUCUUCUGAGACAAGGUCUUUACAGGGGAUCUGUCUCUGGGGCUCAUCUAGUUGUCCUGGUCUCCGCUGUCUUUCAGGGAUGUAGAGGUCCUCUCUAGGUGCUGAUCCACCAUCUGGUCUGGAUAAUACAGGAUCCGGGUGACUGCAGUGACCCUCUGAUCUGGAUACACACUGGAUCUGGUGGCUACGAUGACAUCAGAAUAAGAAAGAAACAGACUAAAAUGAGUGUGGAUGCCAUUCUUCUAGCAAGAACAUCCUUUGUUAUGGGAAGUGUUCCCGGUUCCAGUUUAAUCCUAAUUAAGUCAGCCUAAAAAUCCUUUAGCGGAUUUGAAUAUUGGAAAUGUGUUAGUGUGUUAUGUGUAAGCCAGGUUAAAGAGAUUGUUCUUUAAUCUAAAUUUAAACUGACAGAGUGUGUCUGCCUUCUGAACAAUGUUAGGAAGGCUAUUCCAGAGUUUAGGUUCUAAAUAGGAAAAGGUAUUAUCACAUUUCCAGAGUUUUGAGAACACAGUGGAUGCGGAGGACUAUAAUGCAUUAAGAGCUUGUUCAAAUACUGUGGUGUUAAACCAAUCGGGGCUUUAUAAGUAACAAGCAAGAUUUUAAAAGCUAUACGAUGUUAAAUAGGGAGCCGGUGCAGUGUUGAGUAUGACAGGAUUCACAAAAAUGAUCUGAAGCAGAAGAACUCUACACUCUCAGAAAUAAAGGUACGGUGAGGGUACAAUUAUAGCUGCUUAAUUUUGAACCAGCUGGAAUUUGUUUAUUAAGCAUGCAGAACAACCACCCAAUAAAACAUUACAGUAAUCUAACCUUGAGACCAUGAAUGCAUGAAUUAAUGUUUCUGCAUUUGACAUUGGGAGCGUAGUUACUAAUUUAGAUAUAUUCUUGAGAUAGAAAUAUGCCGUUUUACAAGUUUUGAUGUCACAUGCAUCCACUCAUAUGCAGACACAUAGCUGACUCUACUUCUGUGCUAUCUGUUAGUGAGUAGAUGCAGCAGAGCUGGAGAGUGUUCGGCUGAGAUAGGAGUCUGUUUCCUGAGCUAUUAGAGACUGACUUCAGACCAUCUGCCUGGAGCGAGAUUGAGACACAGUUCAAACUGAAGCACAACUACACUUUGUCACAUACUUGACUACCAAUAGUGUAAUGGUGGCAAAGACAGACGGAUAAGAUGGCAGAAUGAAAGUGAGCAAUGCGUCUCUCCUGCCGAUUAUCUCCAUCUCUCCAACUGUGCCAAAGUCAAUGUGUAGAUUUGUGUUCUUUUGUGAGAUUAACAGAACAUUGUUUAACGUAAUCACAUGCAGCUCAAAGUGGCCAAUGGGCCUGUGAAUACACAUUGAAAUAAUUUGUAAUAUUUAUAUAUUUUUUAAAUUAAAUUUCUGAAAGGAAUUGUAUUUAUAUUAAAUCUGUAUUAUAUCUGUAGGGUUUUCCUUCUUACACAGACCAUAAAAAUGAGAUUUCAGGACUUUCAAGGUGUCUUUAUAUAAAGAAAGUGAAGAGUAAGCUCUAAAAACUUAAAUCAAAACAUAGAAAUGUUUCCUUUGAAACUAACUGAAAUAAGUUCAAGUAUUAAUUUAGUGAUAAUAUUUAUAUUUAUAUUAUUAUAAACAUUUUUUAAACACUGACGGGCUAAGAAGACUUGAAAAACUUUUUAGGAGCAUUUUUUUAGUGCUUGACACUCUAUUGUCACUGUAUUAAAAACGAGCAACUGAAACAUUCUGCUAAACUUUUUUUUUUUUUUAUGUUUCACGUUCAGGUAGACCGACACAGGUUGAAUAGAUGAUGUCAAAAUUCUUAUUGUGGGUGAAUUACAGCAAAACAGAUCAAUCAGUCUUUUUCAAAAUGUUUUCUAAAUCCACAGGUUAAACUCUGUUACAGUCCCAUGUGUACAGACCCAUUCAAUGACCUUUGACCUGAGCUGAGUAAUCGUAGCCCAAACAUGUCUCCUCCUGUGCCAACAAGCCUGGUUUGAGUUACACUUUUAAUAGGCAGGUUUACAGAGGGCAGAGGGAGGUGGAGUGUGGAACAGAUCAAAAGUUCUUUCCUAAAUGUCCUUUGUCGUGACUUUGCUGUGUUUGAUGUCUACACUGUUGACUCUCUCACUCUUUCUCCACCUCGCUUUCUCUCUCUCUCUCUCAUUUCAAAGAGAGGGAAGAGUCAUCUGCCUCCCGUGGUCUGCCAACACACAGACCACCAGGGGAAGUGAGGGAGCAAAAAAGAAAGGAAAAGAAAGAUAACUGGGGAGAUUGGACAGUCGGGAGCUUUUGAAGAAAAGACCAAUUUCUACCCCAAGAACAGCGAUAACUGAUGUGGGUACCCACUGGGGGACUGGACGGAGGAGUAAAUAUGAAUUAUGAAAGAAGAUGACCGUUUUAUCUGUUUGCAGAACAUGUGGACAGUGUGGACUGUUGUCCUUUCACCUGGAGCCAAGACUCAUGAACUGCACGGUUGAGAGUGUUGGGAAAUCUGCAUCCUGUUUUACGGUCGGCAAACUUCUGUUGACUGAAUACAGCAGUUAAGAAUCUGAGGCUUUAUUGCAAAUAAAGGGUGUUUCUGACAAUAUUUUGGCGGCGCGUGCACCGGCGGGGUGAACAUAUUGAGUUCAAAACAGAAAUGAGAGAGCAUUGGAGGAAAAAAUCAAUAGAUGGGUGAAUGAAUAGGUGAAGUGAGUCAGUAUACAGCUAUUCACUGUCUCGGUGCCUCUUUUGUCCUUUCUGUGCUAUUUGGUUAAAAUCUCUUUUAUCUCUGCUGGUGCCAGUCUCUGAUGCAUAAACGCUCCAGACUGACUCCUUUUGCUUUGAUAGAGGGACACAAAAACCGCAUUAGCGUUUCAGCAUCAGUAAGAAUAUCGCAUAUCCGGCUUGUCAUUCAUUUGAUUUUACACUUCUUAAUUUCUCUUACAUGGUACAUUUCCUCCUUGACCUGUACUGAAGUCAUCCAUGAUAAUGUUCUUAUAUAAGAAUAUAUUGUAUCCUGUUGAUUGAAAUAAUUCUGGUCAAGGUUUUUUUUUUUUUUUUAUCAAAGUAUGUGGGUUAUUUUAGUUUUCAAAUUAAUUAAAAUAUAUGAUAAUGUGUAUCAUAUAAUGCAUAUCCUUCUUACAAGUGGCAAAACAAGCUCAAUUUAAGACAUGCUGUUGGUCCUGCUGGAAAGCACAGGCAUUGCAAGGCCAAGGUUUCGGUUUGUCAUCACAUCUAUUUUCAGGUUACUUUAAACUGCUUUAGGUAUAUGAACAUGUCACCUGCCGUCACGUCAAACUGUGUGUUUUUCCUCCUGUGUGUUUAUUGUCAUUUCCUCUCCACACACUCGUGUCUUCAAACACAAGUGUGUGUGUGUGUGCGUAUUUUGUUAGAUGUGUUAACUGUAGCACUGGAACCAGAUACUUUAUGAUACAACUUUUCAUCUCUUUUGCACACUCACACAGUCUGUCGUUGUCUCACUCGGCAGGGUGGGCUUUAAUCUAUUUUCACCCCUGGCUUCUUAAGAAAGUAGAUCUACCAAGUCAACUUCCUACUGGGAGAGUCACUCCUGACUAAACUUUGUGUGUGUGAGCGUGCCCUGUACGGGAAUAGUGAGUUUCUUAAAAAUUUCCCCAUCUCUCAUUUAAGUUUAAUUUAAACCUAUGAAUUAAUUUCUUCUGCAGAGCACGAAAGAUGAUAUGUUUAAUAUCUUUGUAUUUUAAAAAAAUAACAGUAAAAAAUAAAACACUACAAAAUUUC